UACGUAGGGUGCGAGCGUUGUCCGGAAUUAUUGGGCGUAAAGAGCUCGUAGGCGGUCUGUCGCGUCGGCUGUGAAAACUCGGGGCUCAACCCCGAGCCUGCAGCCGAUACGGGCAGACUAGAGUUCGGCAGGGGAGACUGGAAUUCCUGGUGUAGCGGUGAAAUGCGUAGAGAUCAGGAAGAACACCGGUGGCGAAGGCGCUCUGCUAGGCCGCAACUGACACUGAGGGACGAAAGCUAGGGGAGCGAAUGGG
rnacentral:rRNA from 1 species